rnacentral:rRNA from 1 species
AGAUUAGCCUGCAUGUCUAAGUAUAGCAACUAUACGGUGAAACUGCGAAUGGCUCAUUAAAUCAGUUAUCGUUUAUUUGAUAGUACCUUACUACAUGGAUAACCGUGGUAAUUCUAGAGCUAAUACAUGCUAAAAACCUCGACUUCGGAAGGGGUGUAUUUAUUAGAUAAAAAACCAAUGCCCUUCGGGGCUCCUUGGUGAAUCAUAAUAACUUAACGAAUCGCAUGGCCUUGCGCCGGCGAUGGUUCAUUCAAAUUUCUGCCCUAUCAACUUUCGAUGGUAGGAUAGUGGCCUACCAUGGUAUCAACGGGUAACGGGGAAUUAGGGUUCGACUCCGGAGAGGGAGCCUGAGAAACGGCUACCACAUCCAAGGAAGGCAGCAGGCGCGCAAAUUACCCAAUCCCGACACGGGGAGGUAGUGACAAUAAAUACUGAUACAGGGCUCUUUUGGGUCUUGUAAUUGGAAUGAGUACAAUUUAAAUCCCUUAACGAGGAACAAUUGGAGGGCAAGUCUGGUGCCAGCAGCCGCGGUAAUUCCAGCUCCAAUAGCGUAUAUUAAAGUUGUUGCAGUUAAAAAGCUCGUAGUUGAACCUUGGGCCUGGCUGGCCGGUCCGCCUCACCGCGUGUACUGGUCCGGCCGGGCCUUUCCUUCUGGGGAACCUCAUGCCCUUCACUGGGCGUGUUGGGGAACCAGGACUUUUACUUUGAAAAAAUUAGAGUGUUCAAAGCAGGCCUUUGCUCGAAUACAUUAGCAUGGAAUAAUAGAAUAGGACGUGUGGUUCUAUUUUGUUGGUUUCUAGGACCGCCGUAAUGAUUAAUAGGGAUAGUCGGGGGCAUCAGUAUUCAAUCGUCAGAGGUGAAAUUCUUGGAUUGAUUGAAGACUAACUACUGCGAAAGCAUUUGCCAAGGAUGUUUUCAUUAAUCAGUGAACGAAAGUUAGGGGAUCGAAGACGAUCAGAUACCGUCGUAGUCUUAACCAUAAACUAUGCCGACUAGGGAUCGGACGGUGUUAGUAUUUUGACCCGUUCGGCACCUUACGAGAAAUCAAAGUUUUUGGGUUCUGGGGGGAGUAUGGUCGCAAGCUGAAUAG